CCUACGGGGGGCAGCAGUGAGGAAUAUUGGUCAAUGGGCGCGAGCCUGAACCAGCCAAGUAGCGUGAAGGAUGACUGCCCUACGGGUUGUAAACUUCUUUUAUAAAGGAAUAAAGUGAGGCACGUGUGCCUUUUUGUAUGUACUUUAUGAAUAAGGAUCGGCGAACUCCGUGCCAGCAGCCGCGGUAAUACGGAGGAUCCGAGCGUUAUCCGGAUUUAUUGGGUUGAAAGGGAGCGUAGAUGGGUUGUUAAGUCAGUUGUGAAAGUUUGCGGCUCAACCGUCAAAUUGCAAUUGAUACUGGCAGCCUUUCUUACAGUUGCGGUCGGCGGCAUUCGUUGUGUAGCG
rnacentral:rRNA from 1 species